rnacentral:rRNA from 1 species
GCUAAUAUCCUAUAUAUACAUUAGAUGGCAUCAUUUGAUGUAUAAAGAUUAAUUGAUUAUGGAUGGGCAUGCGUAUCAUUAGCUAGUUGGUAGGGUAAUGGCUUACCAAGGCGACGAUGAUUAGGGGUUCUGAGAGGAAGGUCCCCCACACUGGAACUGAGACACGGUCCAGACUCCUACGGGAGGCAGCAGUAGGGAAUAUUGGGCAAUGGAGGCAACUCUGACCCAGCCAUGCCGCGUGCAGGAAGACGGUCCUAUGGAUUGUAAACUGCUUUUAUUAUAGAGUAAUCGCGGGGACGUGUCCCCGCCUGCAAGUAUAUGAUGAAUAAGCAUCGGCUAACUCCGUGCCAGCAGCCGCGGUAAUACGGAGGAUGCAAGCGUUAUCCGGAUUUAUUGGGUUUAAAGGGUGCUCAGGCGGAUCGGUAAGUCCGUGGUGAAAAACUACUGCUUAACAGUAGUCUUGCCAAUGAUACUGCCGGACUAGAGUGUAAGAGGUGUAACUGGAAUGUGAUGUGUAGCGGUGAAAUGCAUAGAUAU